UACGGAGGGUGCAAGCAUUGAUCGGAAUUAUUGGGCGUAAAGGGCGCGUAGGCGGUUCUACAAGUUAGGUGUGAAAUUCCGGGGCUCAACCCCGGAGCUGCAUUUAAAACUGUAAGACUAGAGUGCAAUUAGGGAAAGCGGAAUUCCACGUGUAGCGGUGAAAUGCGUAGAUAUGUGGAAGAACACCGGUGGUGAAGACGGCUUUCUGGGUUGCAACUGACGCUGAGGCGCGAAAGCUAGGGGAGCAAACAGG
rnacentral:rRNA from 1 species